rnacentral:rRNA from 1 species
GGUUUCGGCUACUCACGUUUGGGAUGGACCCGCGGUGCAUUAGUUAGUUGGUGAGGUAAAGGCUCACCAAGACCGUGAUGCAUAGCCGACCUAAGAGGGUAAUCGGCCACACUGGGACUGAGACACGGCCCAGACUCCUACGGGAGGCAGCAGUAGGGAAUCUUCCACAAUGGACGAAAGUCUGAUGGAGCAACGCCGCGUGAGUGAAGAAGGUUUUCGGAUCGUAAAACUCUGUUGUUGGAGAAGAAUGUAUCUGAUAGUAACUGAUCAGGUAGUGACGGUAUCCAACCAGAAAGCCACGGCUAACUACGUG